rnacentral:rRNA from 1 species
AGAGUUUGAUCCUGGCUCAGGAUGAACGCUAGCGGCGUGCCUAACGCAUGCAAGUCGAACGAGAAACCUUGGACUCGUCUGAGGUGGAAAGUGGCGCACGGGUGAGUAACACGUAGGUGACCUGCCCCAGAGAGGGGGAUAACUAUUGGAAACGGUAGCUAAUACCCCAUAAGCUCACGGUUUUUAGAAAGCUGUGAGAAAAGCUCCGGCGCUCUGGGAGGGGCCUGCGGCCCAUCAGCUAGUUGGUAGGGUAACGGCCUACCAAGGCAAUGACGGGUAGGGGACCUGAGAGGGUGACCCCCCACACUGGCACUGAGACACGGGCCAGACUCCUGCGGGAGGCAGCAGCGAGGAAUAUUGCCCAAUGGGCGAAAGCCUGAGGCAGCAACGCCGCGUGGGUGACGAAGGCCUUCGGGUCGUAAAACCCUUUUCUGGGGGAAUAGGAAGGAAGGUACCCCAGGAAUAAGAGUCGGCUAACUACGUGCCAGCAGCCGCGGUAAAACGUAGGACUCGAGCGUUAUCCGGAUUUACUGGGCGUAAAGCGCGUGUAGGCGGCUUGGUUAGUUGGAUGUUAAAGCUCCUGGCUUAACUAGGAGAGGCCAUUCAAUACUGCCAGGCUAGAGGACGGUAGAGGAGAGUAGAAUUCCAGGUGUAGUGGUGAAAUGCGUAGAUAUCUGGAAGAAUACCAGUGGCGAAGGCGGCUCUCUGGGCCGUUCCUGACGCUAAGACGCGAAAGCAUGGGUAGCGAACGGGAUUAGAAACCCCGGUAGUCCAUGCCGUAAACGAUGAACACUGGGUGUUGGGGGUAUCAAUUCCCUCGGCGCCGAAGCUAACGCGUUAAGUAUUCCGCCUGGGGAUUACGAUCGCAAGGUUAAAACUCAAAGGAAUUGACGGGUCCCGCACAAGCAGCGGAGCGUGUGGUUUAAUUCGAGGCUACACGAAGAACCUUACCUGGGCUUGACAUGACGGUAGUAGGGAUCCGAAAGGUGACCGACCCUUCGGGGAGCCGCCACAGGUGCUGCAUGGCUGUCGUCAGCUCGUGUCGUGAGAUGUUCGGUUAAGUCCGUUAACGAGCGCAACCCUCGCCGUUAGUUACAAGUGUCUAGCGGGACUGCCGUUAAAAAAGCAGAGGAAGGUGGGGAUGAUGUCAAGUCAGCAUGGCCUUUAUGUCCAGGGCUACACACACGCUACAAUGGCCGGUACAAUGGGUUGCCAAACCGCGAGGUGGAGCCAAUCCUCCAAAGCCGGUCUCAGUUCGGAUUGCAGGCUGCAACUCGCCUGCAUGAAGGUGGAGUUGCUAGUAACCGCAGGUCAGCUAUACUGCGGUGAAUACGUUCCCGGGGAUUGUACACACCGCCCGUCACGUCAUGGGAGCUGGUCACGCCUGAAGUCGAUGAGCUAACCUAACGGGGGCAAUCGCCUAAGGCAGGGCUGGUGACUGGGACGAAGUCGUAACAAGGUA